rnacentral:misc_RNA from 1 species
GUAGGUGAACCUGCGGAAGGAUCAUUAGAGAGACUUUGCCCUUUAGGUAUAUCUCCCACCCUGAUUAUUUUACCUGGUUGCUUUGGCGAACAGACGCUAUAUGCUGAAGCUCGCCAGAGUGUACAUACUCUUGUUUCAUGUAGUCUGAGAAAAAACAAAAUAUUUAAAACUUUCAACAACGGAUCUCUUGGUUCUG